GCCGAAUGGCGUAGUGGUUAGUGAGCCUGACUACUGAGCCGAUGGUCCCGGGUUCCAUUCCCGGCUGGGGCA
rnacentral:tRNA from 1 species